rnacentral:rRNA from 1 species
GAUGAACGCUGGCGGCGUGCCUAAUACAUGCAAGUCGAGCGAACGGACGAGAAGCUUGCUUCUCUGAUGUUAGCGGCGGACGGGUGAGUAACACGUGUAUAACCUACCUAUAAGACUGGGAUAACUUCGGGAAACCGGAGCUAAUACCGGAUAAUAUUUUGAACCGCAUGGUUCAAAGGAGAAAGACGGUCUUGCUGUCACUUAUAGAUGGAUCCGCGCUGCAUUAGCUAGUUGGUAAGGUAACGGCUUACCAAGGCAACGAUGCAUAGCCGACCUGAGAGGGUGAUCGGCCACACUGGAGCUGAGACACGGUCCAGACUCCUACGGGAGGCAGCAGUAGGGAAUCUUACGCAAUGGGCGAAAGCCUGACGGAGCAACGCCGCGUGAGUGAUGAAGGUCUUCGGAUCGUAAAGCUCUGUUAUUAGUGAAGAACAUAUGUGUAAGUAACUGUGCACAUCUUGACGGUACCUAAUCAGAAAGCCACGGCUAACUACGUG